rnacentral:rRNA from 1 species
ACCUAUACAACUUUCAGCAACGGAUCUCUUGGCUCUCGCAUCGAUGAAGAACGCAACGAAAUGCGAUAAGUAAUGUGAAUUGCAGAAUUCAGUGAAUCAUCGAAUCUUUGAACGCMCCUUGCGCUCCUUGGUAUUCCGAGGAGCAUGCCUGUUUGAGUGUCAUUAAAUUCUCAACCUCACCAACUU